rnacentral:misc_RNA from 1 species
AAGAAGGAGGAGGGAGAGUUGCGCCCGCGCUGAGUACUAUUUUCAGUACGACAAUGGGGAUGACAUGCGCGAGAGGUGCGUCCACAGUUUCACACAGCGAAUACGCGCCAGAUGAAUAGAGGAGAUCGCAGGACGAUCAAAUUGUCUCCUCAGCGAAGAUCGACAAUGAAAUUAAUGUAUUGAUUAAUGCUGUAUCUGACAUCCUCUUGACUAAGUUAACCAUCCUUGAGCUCAGUUCAUCUUAGCGUUAACUCUUCAUAUAAUCGGUUAUUUUCCUCUGUGCCAUAUUACGAACGUAUCAAGGCGAGGACGACAUUUGAUUUCAUGCGAAGGGCGCACGCCCCGACGACGAACUAAUCCCCGACCCCGACCCCGACCCCGGUACCGAUCCCGGCGAUACAGCUGAGUUCUCGCCGUGUCACGAGCGAAUCUAGUCAUUCGGACUUCGCUCUUCUCGAAGAAGACCUUCGUAGACUUGUGUAUGUACCCUGAUCAUACUUUAUGGACUUUAUCGUCGUACGCGCUAUCAGGAUCGCCGCACUGAUAAACCACAUGCACUUCGUCUGACUCAUCAAUAAUCAUUCUUUCGGAUCUUCCGCUUCACGCGUCCUACUACAAGAAAAACAAGGUGCGUUAAAUGCUGAAGGUGCGACGGUGUUCACUUACAAAGUUUCUCCGAUGAAAAAUUGAGAGUGCUGAAGGUUUACAGGCAGAAACAUGCCCGGACGAUCGCCAGCAAGGGCGUACGAGCGGCCCAUUACAAGCGAAGGUUGCGGGUUUGCCGCCACUUGAAUGUCAUCACGGGAGAACAAAUGACCAGGGCGCGGAAUGGGCGAAUCUUGGCUUUCGGUCCUUCUUGCUGGCACGUUGACAACCAUGAUAAUGAUAGCGGUAACAAAGGCCAAUUCAUUUUCAACACCGUCUUUAUCGACGAGUAUACGUAAUGACAUUGUGGAUUCCAAACGGGCGGCUAUAGAAGAAGCCUUGGAUGUGAUAGAGGCCGCAUCGACAGGUUCUCUGGGCGAAGUUUGUGUCACUACGGAGGGAUUUAAAUCUCUUCCAGCUGACGUCGCUUUGGAUCCAAGACGGUACGAUAUGGCACGUCAGAAAGCUGACAUGACCGCUAUGGUGCUUCGGAAUCUCGGGGCUGCUGAAGCGAUGCGACGUAAUGCUCUUUUAGACGCUUUGACCAAGUCUCUGCUGGUGUCGGUGGAUGACGCUGUGGAGGCGAGGGUAAUCGCGCUCAACGCGUCCACUGGUACAGUGAUCACCGCGGUGUGGCUGAAACGUAGUCCUGGAAGCGUCGGUGAGCCUUCCAAGGUCGAGAGUCACGCAGUCCAACUCGGAUCGCAACCGGACCCUAGCUUACCGUGGUUUGAGAACGCAGGUAGCAGCGCUGGAUUAAGAUGCAUUUUGUUCCUAAAAUAUGAACAAAGAAAGGAUAAUAAAAAGAAAUUAAAACCAAAUGCCAACAAUUUUUGGAUACUUUGUAAAGAAGAAAGUACCUUUUAAUAAUCAAAAUUUUGAUGUAGUUGUGGAUAAACGUAAUUUAUUUCUGACGAUUGCAAAGAAGAUCAAAUUAUAGUAAAUGAUGAACAGAUAACUAUAAAUGAAACCGUUGAAGUUAAUGCAUCAAUAAUCAAUUCUAAUACAUCAUCAACAAAACUACUUCAAGUAUAAUAGAAAUCGAUGGAAAAAAAGAAAAAGAUAAAAACAAAAAAAAUUAGAAGAAAUAAAUCGAAAAAUGCAAAUCCACUUAACUCUUAUGCGCAAAAAAAUGAGAGUUUUAAGAUCUAGAAUAUUAAGACUUGAAAAUAAAAAUAAUAAUGAUCAAUAUAAAAAAGCUUUAAAGGAAGUAAUCAAUGAAGAUCAAAUUAAAGCUUUAUUAACAAAAAAACGAAAAACAAAUUGGCUUAAUGAAACUGUUCAAUGUGCACUUAGAUUGAGGUUAUUUGUGGUACUAAUGUUAUGAGGAGCUUC